UGAGGCUAUGCUGAAAGAUGGUUUCGGCUAUCACUUACAGAUGGGCCCGCGGCGCAUUAGCUAGUUGGUGAGGUAACGGCUCACCAAGGCAACGAUGCGUAGCCGACCUGAGAGGGUGAUCGGCCACACUGGGACUGAGACACGGCCCAGACUCCUACGGGAGGCAGCAGUAGGGAAUCUUCCGCAAUGGACGAAAGUCUGACGGAGCAACGCCGCGUGAGUGAUGAAGGUUUUCGGAUCGUAAAACUCUGUUGUCAGGGAAGAACAAGUGCCGGAGUAACUGCCGGCACCUUGACGGUACCUGACCAGAAAGCCACGGCUAACUACGUGCCAGCAGCCGCGGUAAUACGUAGGUGGCAAGCGUUGUCCGGAAUUAUUGGGCGUAAAGCGCGCGCAGGCGGUCUCUUAAGUCUGAUGUGAAAGCCCACGGCUCAACCGUGGAGGGUCAUUGGAAACUGGGGGACUUGAGUGCAGAAGAGGAAAGUGGAAUUCCACGUGUAGCGGUGAAAUGCGUAGAGAUGUGGAGGAACACCAGUGGCGAAGGCGACUUUCUGGUCUGUAACUGACGCUGAGGCGCGAAAGCGUGGGGA
rnacentral:rRNA from 1 species